CUACGGGAGGCUGCAGUGAGGAAUAUUGCACAAUGGGGGGAACCCUGAUGCAGCAACGCCGCGUGGAGGAUGACGCAUUUCGGUGUGUAAACUCCUUUUAUAUGUCAAGAAAAUGACGGUAGCAUAUGAAUAAGCACCGGCUAACUCCGUGCCAGCAGCCGCGGUAAUAGGGAGGGUGCAAGCGUUACUCGGAAUCACUGGGCGUAAAGGACGCGUAGGCGGGUUGGAAAGUCAGGUGUGAAAUCCUACAGCUUAACUGUAGAACUGCACUUGAAACUUCUAAUCUAGGGUAUGGGAGGGGGAGAUGGAAUUAGUGGUGUAGGGGUAAAAUCCGUAGAUAUCACUAGGAAUACCUAAAGCGAAGGCGAUCUCCUGGAACAUUACUGACGCUAAGGCGUGAAAGCGUGGGGAGCAAACAGGAUUAGAUACCCCAGUAGUC
rnacentral:rRNA from 1 species